rnacentral:rRNA from 1 species
AUGGCUCAGAACGAACGCUGGCGGCGCGUUUAAGCAUGCAAGUCGAGCGGCAAGGGCCUUCGGGCCCUAGAGCGGCGGACGGGUGAGUAACACGUGGACAAUCUGCCCCCCGGCCCGGGAUAGCCCAGGGAAACCUGGAUUAAUACCGGAUGAGACGGGACCCGCGAUGGCGGGAUCCGGGAAAGGCGCUGCGGCGCCGCCGGGGGAUGAGUCUGCGUCCCAUUAGCUAGACGGCGGGGUAACGGCCCACCGUGGCGACGAUGGGUAGCCGGCCUGAGAGGGUGGACGGCCACAUUGGAACUGAGACACGGUCCAGACUCCUACGGGAGGCAGCAGCUAAGAAUCUUCCGCAAUGGGCGAAAGCCUGACGGAGCCGACGCCGCGUGAACGAAGAAGGCCGUGAGGUUGUAAAGUUCUUUUCGGGAGGGGGAACAACCGUGGCAGGGAAUGGCCGCGGGAUGACGUGAAUCCCGGAAUAAGCCCCGGCUAACUACGUGCCAGCCGCCGC